rnacentral:lncRNA from 1 species
UUGCGGGCCGGCAGGCAUAAACAAGUAGAGGACGAGGGGGAGGGACAGGGGUGACGGCCUGCCUGACCCAACCGGUGGCCUCGGAUCCGGAGAUUCUGCAGACACACAUGAGUGCCUGCCACACCCUCUCGCUCCACUCCCUGCACUUUACAAUCCCAGCAGCUCUCACUCACUCAAGCCUGAACCCCAGCUCCGCUCAGCUUGCCGCCACCUAAUCCGCCAUUUCUCGCUGGUUUCCUGCUCCAUCCCUCCCUCCCCCUCUCUCUUUUCUCACAGCUGACCUCUUUUUUUUUUCCUCCUUCUACCUUGGCAUAUAAAAAUCUCAGCCUUGGCCAUGGGGUGCCUCUCUCUCUCUUCUUCUCCCUCUGGUACUAAACCUGUCAGGGAGGCUUAGGCCAUGUUUAGUUACUCCCAACUCCCAACUUUGACACUAUGCAAAAAGAAGAUUCCCCAUCACAUCAAACUUGCGGUACAUGCAUGGAGUACUAAAUGUAGAUGAAAUUAAAAACUAAUUGCACAGUUUUGUUGUACUUUGCGAGACGAAUCUUUUGAGCCUAAUUAGUCAAUAUUUGGACAAUAAUUCACAAAUACAAACGAAACGCUACAGUGUGCUACAGUGCUGUAACAGUAAUUUGGCACCCCCAAAUUCGCCAAACUAAACACGGCCUUAGCUUAAACCUCACCACCAGUACACCUACUUCCUGGCUUUGCAACAAAGUUGCAGGCCACUUUCCUCUGGUGCUUCCGGCACAAGCAAGAACACGGAUUUGCAAGUGACACCAGCUGCAGCCGAUCCUACAGCAUCAGCUCACCUC